GGCCGCGGGAAUUCGAUUCAGGCCUAACACAUGCAAGUCGAGCGGUAGAGAGAAGCUUGCUUCUCUUGAGAACGGCGGACGGGUGAGUAAUGCCUAGGAAUCUGCCUGGUAGUGGGGGAUAACGUUCGGAAACGGACGCUAAUACCGCAUACGUCCUACGGGAGAAAGCAGGGGACCUUCGGGCCUUGCGCUAUCAGAUGAGCCUAGGUCGGAUUAGCUAGUUGGUGAGGUAAUGGCUCACCGAGGCGACGAUCCGUAACUGGUCUGAGAGGAUGAUCAGUCACACUGGAACUGAGACACGGUCCAGACUCCUACGGGAGGCAGCAGUGGGGAAUAUUGGACAAUGGGCGAAAGCCU
rnacentral:rRNA from 1 species